AGGGUGUAAACGCUGCCGACUUGGUGUUGGAGGCCCUUCGGGGGCAUUCAGUGCCGGAGAGAAGUUGUUAAGUCGGCCACUUGGGGAGUACGUCCGCAAGGAUGAAACUUAAAGGAAUUGGCGGGGGAGCACCGCAACGGGAGGAGCGUGCGGUUUAAUUGGAUUCAACACCGGAAAACUCACCAAGGGCGACUGUUACAUGAAGGCCGAGAUGAAGACUCUGCUAGAUUUUCAGAGAGGUGGUGCAUGGCGUCAGUGACU
rnacentral:rRNA from 1 species